AAACUGCCAUAUCCCUUGACUGCAUCAUCACUUGCCAGCAUGUGAGAUUGCAGUCAAGGGCUAACUUGUCUUUGAAUAAAUAAAAAAUCGUAGGAAGCAAUUUACUGAGAGCUCACGUCUAUGACCAGCACGCCACGAUUUCAAAAUAUCUAUGUCCACCAGUGGACGUCAUCAGCCGAUACAUAUAAAAUUAAAUAGGAAAAGUUUACGGACGACAAGAAAUUAAACGAUACUGGAUACCUAUUAUGUAAAAGUUGCUCAAUUUAAAUAAGCCAGGAGUUCAAUUCGAUACAAAUACGGUUUUCUAAGCCGCAGAAAACCUUUUUAUGGUAGCAAAGGUCAAAUAGAAAUGUUACCGAUGUGAACUUCAAGCUUAGUUAAAUAACUACUGGUAGAAACUAGGUAUCAACAUCGUUUAAAAACUAAUAGUUAUCAGUAUAGGACAAUAAAGUCAUACAUAAAAUGGACCUAAAACUUCAAUAAGAUCGCAGUAGAUGGUAGAGUAGAAGCACAGAGGACGCUGCUGCCCGUCCUCCGCUAUAUUCCCUUAGUCGCCUCGUACGACACCCGCGGGAAGAGGUGGGGUUGUGACAACUGUAUUCUAAUCUGCCGUCACCACACGGCACCAAGGUAUUUAGGCCCACUUUACUCGAAAUCUAUAAACGUUUUCGAGGUGUAAAAACUCGUUCUAAACACAGAACACUUGCUGUAUCUUCAUAAUGAUUAUAACAUUGUUG